AUUGAACGCUGGCGGCAGGCCUAACACAUGCAAGUCGAACGAGUGGCGGACGGGUGAGUAAUGUCUGGGAAACUGCCCGAUGGAGGGGGAUAACUACUGAAAACGGUAGCUAAUACCGCAUACCAUCGAAUUGUCACAGAUGGGAUUAGCAGGUUGGUGGGGUAACGGCUCCCCAAGGCGACGAUCCCUAGCUGGUCUGAGAGGAUGACCAGCCACACUGGAACUGAGACACGGUCCAGACUCCUACGGGAGGCAGCAGUGGGGAAUAUUGCACAAUGGGCGCAAGCCUGAUGCAGCCAUGCCGCGUGUAUGAAGAAGGCCUUCGGGUUGUAAAGUACUUUCAGCGGGGAGGCGUUACCCGCAGAAGAAGCACCGGCUAACUCCGUGCCAGCAGCCGCGGUAAUUC
rnacentral:rRNA from 1 species